UGGGGAAUCUUAGACAAUGGGCGCAAGCCUGAUCUAGCCAUGCCGCGUGAGUGAAGAAGCCUUAGGGUCGUAAAGCUCUUUCGCCUGUGAAGAUAAUGACUGUAGCAGGUAAAGAAACCCCGGCUAACUCCGUGCCAGCGCCGCGGUAAUACGGAGGGGGUUAGCGUUGUUCGGAAUUACUGGGCGUAAAGCGCGCGUAGGCGGACAUUUAAGUCAGAGGUGAAAUCCCAGGGCUCAACCCUGGAACUGCCUUUGAUACUGGGUGUCUUGAGUUCGAGAGAGGUGAGUGGAAUUCCGAGUGUAGAGGUGAAAUUCGUAGAUAUUCGGAGGAACACCAGUGGCGAAGGCGGCUCACUGGCUCGAUACUGACGCUGAGGUGCGAAAGUGUGGGGAGCAAACAGGAUUAGAUACCCUGGUAGUCCACACCGUAAACGAUGAAUGCCAGUCGUCGGGCAGUAUACUGUUCGGUGACACACCUAACGGAUUAAGCAUUCCGCCUGGGGAGUACGGCGC
rnacentral:rRNA from 1 species